AACAAACGCUGGCGGCGUGUCUUAAGCAUGCAAGUUGAGCGGCAAGGAGGAGAGAUCCUCCCUAGAGCGGCGGACUGGUGAGUAACGCGUGGGUAAUCUAUCGUAGGCAUGGGGAUAGUCACUAGAAAUAGUGGGUAAUACCGAAUACGUUCCAUGAGGGGAGUACUUAUGGAAGAAAGGGUGCUACGGCACUGGCCUUAGGUGAGCUCGCGUCCCAUUAGCUAGUUGGUGAGGUAAAGGCCCACCAAGGCGAUGAUGGGUAGCCGGCCUGAGAGGGUGUACAGCCACACUGGGACUGAGAUACGGCCCAGACUCCUACGGGAGCAGCAGCUAAGAAUAUUCCGCAAUGGACGGAAGUCUGACGGAGCGACGCCGCGUGGAUGAAGAAGGCCGAAAAGGUUCGUAAAGUUACUUUUGUCGUAGGGAGGAAUAAGUGAGGGAGGGAAGUGCCCGUCCAUGUAUAGACAAGGACGUAGCGAAUAAGCCCCGGCCAACUACGUGCCAGCGACG
rnacentral:rRNA from 1 species